CCUACUGAAUUUAAGCAUAUUAGUCAGUGGAGGAAAAGAAAUUAACCUGCACUCCCUCAGUAACAGCAAGUGAACAGGGAAGAGCCCAGAGUUGAAUCCCUGACCCACAGUGGGGUGUGGGAAAUCUGGCAUAUUGAAGACCCACUCCCCGGUGAUGCUCAUGGGGGGCCCAGGUCCUUGUGAUUGAGGCCCAGCCCAUGGACAGUGUGAGGCUGGUAGUGGUCCCCAGUGUGCCAGGCCCAGGUCUUCCCAGAGUUGGGCUGCUUGGGAAUGCAGAGGAAAGUGGGUGGUAAACUCCAUCUAUGGCUAAAUACUGGCAUGAGACCAACAGUCAACAAGUACCAUAAGGGAAAGUUGAAAGAACUUUGAAGAGAGACUUCAACAGGGUAUGACCCGCUCUGGGGAUGGUACAAAGUAGGGUGUUUGACUGGGGCAGUCAAGGCAUGUCUUACAU
rnacentral:ncRNA from 1 species